rnacentral:rRNA from 1 species
AUGGCAUUUCAGCAAGAGGCCGUAGGAAAGCUGUGGGAGGAGCUCGGCCGCGGCUACAAUCUCAGCGCCAAGCUUCUGGCUUUGCUCAGCCAACCCAGCCACCUCCUCGAUAGCCAUGGCCAGGAGAUGGCUGUGGCCAUAAGCCAACAGCUUUCUCAGGUGUUCAGGGCGUCUCUGUCGAUGUCCAACCCCGGCAACAGUGGUAGGAUGGUGGAAGGCAGGGCGACAGCGCCCGAGGCUGCGAUCAUGGAGGGUAGCAUCAGCCAGGCCACUCCGGCGAUCAUCAGUGGGGAAGAGGUUACUCCCCCAAGAAUAGGUAAAGAAGAGGAGAUUACAGCCGAGCCUUACAAGGAUGGUUACAAAUGGAAAAAAUAUGGGCAAAAGAACAUUAAGAACAGGAAGUUUGCAAGGUUGUACUUCCGAUGCAUGCAUAGCCAUGAGCGCGGCUGCAGGGCGAAGAAGCAGGUGCAGCAGCAGGAUAGCAGCAUCGGCAGUCCUCCAUUGUACAAGGUCAUUUACCUGAACGAGCACACAUGCCACCAAGCGUUUCCCAACGUGAACAUCACCAAUGCAAAUGUACCCGCGACGAGCACUACGACAAGGAACGGCGCCGACUUUGAUCAUGCACGCCGCCACCUCCACGUCGGCGGGAACGGCGAGUUAGAGGACAGAAUCAUGACCUCGACCUUCAGCACGGUCAUCGGCGGAGCUGCCCCUGCUGCUCCGUCGUUGUCGCCCUUGCAGUCGCCGCCUCCCGUGGAAGCGAGCCCGAGCGAUCCGGCGUCGUACGACACGGGUGGCGGACAGUCGCCGAGCCUGCUGGACUUGAGCAUGUGCCUCGACGAGACGAUGAUGGACGAGAUGUAUUUCUCGUGCGGUUCGCCAUUUCGUCCGGUCGAGGCACCCGCAGCUCCAUGGUCGUUGUCGUCCUUGCCGCCGCCGCCGCCGCCGCCCAUAGAAGCGAGCUCGAUUGAUCCGGCGGCGUACAUGCCGUCCCGCGGUGGACACUCACUGAGCCUGGACGCGAUGACGAUGGCGGAGAUUUUUCUCUGGAGCAGCCCGCUAUUUUCUCCACGUUGA